rnacentral:tRNA from 1 species
GGCCCAGUGGCUCAGUUGGUUAGAGCGCCGCCCUGUCACGGCGGAGUUCACGGCGGAGGUCGAGAGUUCGAGUCUCUUCUGGGUCG